CGGGCUAUGGCGCAGUUGGUAGCGCGCAUGCAUGGGGUGCAUGAGGCCGUGGGUUCAAAUCCCACUAGCCCGACCA
rnacentral:tRNA from 1 species